rnacentral:lncRNA from 10 species
GUUUUGUAGUGGAAUGUAUGUAUUUUGUGCCUUAUGUUUAAUUAGAAGCAAUAAAAUAUGUUAAGAGGAGAGACUAGUUAAAAGGAAGGCUCUUGCUCUGUCUUGCUCUGUCACCCAGGCUGUGCAGUGGCAUGAUCUUGGCCCACUACAACAAGCUACUGUGAUGAUGAGGAUGAUGCUUAUUGUUCCGAAGGUCAACUUUUGGAGAUACUGUCUCCAUAUCUAUCAGGGCACAUUAAAAAUACUUCUAACCAGAAACAAGUACUUCCAAAAAUUUACUGCCAAGAUCUAGAGGAUACAAAAUCCCUGAGGUGGGAUUCCAGAGGUAACACUGUUGGGAAGCUGAAUUAGCUUUGCCAUCAUUGAAGCAUUAAAUGGUUUAUAAAGAAAAAGUCUCAGAGCACAGAUAACUCAAUUCUGGGUUGCAGAGAUGAGAAAAGCAUUGCCUUCAAAAUUCCAUCCCUAGUUGACCAUGUUGCCUUGCCUCAGAGAACAUUCCCCGAUGGAAGCACUGUCUGCCUGCAAGUAGAAAUCCCAUUACUUGAAUAUUUUUGGAAAGGGGCCAAGGAUCUUGAGUAGAAAUGAGGUCCUUUCAUUCAUUUAGAAGUAAGUCUUCACCUUUGUGGCGUGUCCUGGGGUUUUGCUCUUAUUUUUCUUUGGUUAUGCAGCUUUCAAUUUUUUAAAAAUGCUUUUAUUGACAAGUCAUAGACUUUCUUGUUAGCUUUUCCGAACUCAAUUCUGGGUUGCAGAGAUGAGAAAAACAUUGCCUUCAAAAUUCGAUCCCCCAUUUGACCAUGCUGCCUUGCCACAGAGAACAUUCCUCAAUGGAUGCAUCGUCUACCUGAAAGGAGAAAUCCCAUUACUUGAAUAUUUGUGGAAAAGGGUCAAGGACCUUGAGUAGAAAUGAGGUCCUUUCAUUCACUUAGAAGUAAGUGUUGGCCGAGCGUGGUGGCUCACGCCUGUAAUCUCAGCAUUUU